GAUGAAGAACGCAGCGAAAUGCGAUAAGUAAUGUGAAUUGCAGAAUUCAGUGAAUCAUCGAAUCUUUGAACGCACCUUGCGCCCUUUGGCCAUUCCGAAGGGCAUGCCUGUUUGAGUAUCAUGAACACCUCAACUCUCAUGGCUUGCCAUGAUGAGCUUGGACUUUGGGGGUCUUGCUGGCCUGUGGUCGGCUCCUCUCAAAUGAAUCAGCUUGCCAGUGUUUGGUGGCAUCACAAGUGUGAUAACUAUCUGCGCUCGUGGUUUCCAUCAGAUAACCUCCAGUGAUGGAGGUUCGCUGGAGCUCAUAAAUGUCUCUCCUAAGCGAGGACAGCUCUUUUGAUGUUUGAUCUCAAAUCAGGUAGGACUACCCGCUGAACUUAAGCAUAUCAAUAAGCGGAGGA
rnacentral:misc_RNA from 1 species